rnacentral:lncRNA from 1 species
UCCACCCAUAAACCGAAAUCGGAGCUAGGCACGGAGAACAAAGAAGUACAUCGUCGGCGGUGCCGAAGGGAAGAUGGGCCGCCAUCUCCGGUCCACCUUCGGACUUUAGCUAGGGAGCUCCACUGCGACGCGCAGUGCGUGGUGGUAUUGAGCCCGAGCGCGGUGGACUGCAGGAGUGACCGGAAUCCCUAACCAGAAUUGGAGAUCCACCAAGGAUCUGCGUGCUGCCACAGGUGGCCCUGCUGCCGCCUCCAUCGUCAGUGAGGUAUCAUGUCCCGUUUGUGCCAUCACUUCCUCUUGGUUUUGCAUCGGAUAUUGAGCAUGUGGAGCACGGGGCAUCAGGUUGUGUGCGUGCUCGUCGGCAAGCACCACCGCGAGCUCUACGCCGCCAUGUUUUCGUGUCUGGGGUAGGUGAGGGGAGAGGAGGGUGCUCUGAUCGUUGAUCUAUCAGUCUACGGACAAGAUCAUAUCACAGUAAAAAGGUUCGGUGACAUCAAAUCGAGUCCAUCGGAGCUUUGGCAGAGGGUCACGAUUAAAUUUCUUGCCUACCGUUUCGGAUGGGGGGAUCACAGCGGUAGAUCAGAACAUGGAGGGUUGACUGGCAAGCUCGGUGCUUUAAUAUCUAGAGCGUUGAUCCUCAAUCCGAUGGCUUAUGUUUCAUACCGGUUCGAGUCAGGUAGAGUCUAAUCCAAGCCGUUUAUAGGCGAUCUCACAGUCGUCCUGUGAAAAUACCCCUUCGCAGUCUUAAUUUGCUUAAGAGCCCCUAUCCUUUCCCAUAUAAACCCGUCGUCCACGGAUAGGUAAAGACCAUUACAUCCAGGUCCCAUAAUUUUGUAAAACAACCACUAACUUUAUAAAGAAAUUCUAGAAAUUGAUUUAUAAUAUAAAAAUAAAUAUAUAGGGUUACAAAAAUCAUAUCUUCCGUGUUUUAGCUCUAUUUUAACAUAUUCGAGUUGCGUUAACUUGAUGAUAAUAUUUUUUACACAGUAACAACAUUAAUUGUACCCUAUUAAAUAUUUAUUAGCAGAUUAAUCUUGUUAAUCGAAGUUAAUCUAUCUAUAAUUAUAAUCUGACUGAAAUAUAAUCUAUGAUCAAGUCAUAACUUAGAUUAAAGAUGAAUUAGUUAUUUCUUUAAAUAUAUUUUUCUCAUAUGAUUUACAUUAAUCAACAUAGCAUAUAGUUUUUAUCAUGAAAAUCUUCUGAAAACCAAAUCUUUUUAACCGUAACUCCGAUUUUAGUGGUUCUCGAACCUACGGUCUCGUAGCGACACAUAGAAUAUUAUUACGCUGUUUGUUCCCAUGUUUGGUGUAAUGUUGUCGGGGACCAUAAUUAGGGGUACCCUCAAGACUCCUAAUUCUCAGCUGGUAACCCCCAUCAGCAUAAAGCUGCAAAGGCCUGAUGGGUGCGAUUAAGUCAGGGAUCAGUCCAUUCGAGCGACUCGAUCAUGCCUCGCCCGAGCCUAGCCUCGGACAAGGGCAGCCGACCCCGGGGGAUUUCCGUCUCGCCAGAGGCCCCCCUCCAACGGCGGAUAAAUCUCCGGCUCGCCCGAGGCCCUGCCUUCGCUAAGAAGCAACCCUGACUAAAUCGCCGCACCGACCGACCGAAUCGCAGGAGCACUUAACGCAAAGGUGGCCUGACACCUUUGUCCUGACGCACGCCCCCCGACAGAGCCGAAGUGACCGCCGUCACUUCGCCGCUCCACUAACCGGCCUGACAGAAGGACAGCGCCGCCUGCGCCACUCCGACUGCAGUGCCACUUGACAGAGUGAGACUGACAGGCAGUCAGGCCCUGCCAAAGGCACCAUAGGAAGCUCCGCUCCGCCCGACCCAGGGCUCGGACUCGGGCUAAGUCCUGGAAGACGGCGAACUCCGCUCCGCCCGACCCAGGGCUCGGACUCGGGCUAGGUCCCGGAAGACGGCGAACUCCGCUCCGCCCGACCCAGGGCUCGGACUCGGGCUAGGACCCGGAAGACGGCGAACUCCGCUCCGCCCGACCCAGGGCUCGGACUCGGGCUAGGACCCGGAAGACGGCGAACUCCGCUCCGCCCGACCCAGGGCUCGGACUCGGGCUAGGACCCGGAAGACGGCGAACUCCGCUCCGCCCGACCCUAGGGCUCGGACUCGGGCUCAGCCCCGGAAGACGACGAACUCUGCUUCGUCCGACCCCAGGGCUCGGACUCCGCCCUGGCCUCUGCCGAACGACCUUCGCCUCGCCCGACCCAGGGGCUCGGGCUCGGCCUCGGCCAUGGAAGACAGACUCGACCUCGGCUUCGGAGGAGCCUCCACGUCGCCCAACCUAGGGCACAGGCCAGCCACGUCAACAGGAAGCGCCAUCAUCACCCUACCCCGAGCUGACUCGGGCCGCAGAGGACAAGACCGGUGUCCCAUCUGGCUUGCUCCGCCAGAUAGGCAAUGAUGGCGCCCCGCAUGCUCUGUGACGACGGCGGCUCUCAGCUCUCUUACGGAAGCAGGAGGACGUCAGCAAGGACUCAACCGCUCCGACAGCUGUCCCUCCGCCAGGCUCCGUCGCUCCUCCGACGGCCACGACAUCACACCAGCUGGGUGCCAAAAUCUCUCCGGCUGCCACAUCGGCAUGUACUUAGGGCGCUAGCUCUCCCCCGCUAGACACGUAGCACUCUGCUACACCCCCAUUGUACACCUGGAUCCUCUCCUUACGAUAUAAAAAGAAGGACCAGGGCCCUCUUAGAGAGGGUUGACCGCGCGGGGACGAGGACGGGACAGGCGCUCUCUUGGGGCCGCUCGCUUCCCUCUCCCGCGUGGACGCUUGUAACCCCCUACUGCAAGCGCACCCGACCUGGGCGCGGGACGAACACGAAGGCCACGGGAUUCCCACCUCUCUCACGCCGGUCGCCGGCCGCCUCGCUCCUUCCCCCCUUCGCGCUCGCCCACGCGCUCGACCCAUCUGGGCUGGGGCACGCAGCGACACUCACUCGUCGGCCCGAGGGACCCCCCGGUCUCGAAACGCCGACAGUUGGCGCGCCAGGUAGGGGCCUGCUGCGUGUUGACGAACAGCUUCCCGUCAAGCUCCAGAUGGGCAGUCUCCAGCAACCUCUCCGACCCGGGACGGUGCUCCGUUUCGGGAGUCUUGAGUUCAUGUCCUUCGACGGCAGCUACGACAUGAUACUCCUUCCACCGCCGCGCGACAACGACAAUGGCGGCCGACAGCCCGCCCGCUAGCGGCGGAAUCGACGACGUCUUCCCCGCGUGGUGGAAGAACAACAUUCGGGCUCGCCCCGUCCUCUCCCCCGCCAACGGAGGAGGAGGCGGGGCAACCAAGGCCAAGCGGGAGGCCGCGCCUCGUCGGCUGUCGAGCGAGUCGACGUCCCCAGCGCCCCAACGGGGGGCGCGUCGGGCGUCGACCUCGCGUUUGAGACGAAGGCGAGCGCCGUCUCCCCGCGACACGCCAAUCCCGAGCAAGCGGACGACGCCAGUGCGCUCGCGGAGAGCUUGCAGGACGUCGCCCUCGUACCUGAGACGACGGUGCAAUCAGUCCCCGACGUGACUAUGUCGCUGCUCGUCGACCGAAAGGUACCGACCGAUUCCCAUCCUACGUCAUUUGGACUCAGCCUCAACCCGCCUAGCGACCUUGCUUUGGCGGGCGCUCUCGUAGAGGCGAGUUCAAACCCUCUGGGGUUUCGCAUGCGGUCGCCUUGGGACCGGCUGACGGACGUCUCGACCUACGGGCCCUCUGGGUCCGAGGAAGAUGACGACCCCAACAUCUGUUGGGAUUUCUCUGGCUUUGGCAACCCCAGUGCCAUGCGGGACUUCAUGACCGCAUGUGACUACUGCCUCUCCGACUGUUCCGACGGUAGCCGCAGCCUCGACGACGAGGACUGCGGCCCAAGCCGCGAAUGUUUCCACGUCGAUCUAGGGGAUCCCUCCGAAGGCAAUCAUCUCGGCAUGCCGGAGGACGGUGAUCUCCCUGGGCCGGUGCCUCGCGCUGACAUCCCACGGGAGCUAGCUGUGGUCCCCGUUCCGGCGGGGGGUCACGACCCACAGCUCGAGCAAGUCCGCGGGGCGCAGGCCAGGCUCGACGAGGGAGCAGGAGCGCUUGAGCCGAUCCGCCGGGACAUCGGGCAGGCAUGGGCGGGCCAACCCCCGGCCGGAGAAAUACGUCACCUGCCCCAGGGUCUCCAGCACCGCGUCGCCGACAGCGUCAGGGUCAGGCCGCCACCCGCAUCCAGUGGGGUCGGUCAGAACCUGGCUGCAGCAGCGAUGCUUCUCCGCGCGAUGCCGGAGCCAUCAACCACCGAGGGUCGGCGAAUCCAGGGAGAGCUCAAGAAUCUCCUGGAAGGCGCUGUGGUCCGAUGGGCCGAGAGCUCUGCCUCUCGAAGGCAGGGAUACCCCUCGGAACCUCAUGCCGCGACUUCCCGAUUCAUGCGGGAAGCCUCGGUCUACACCGGGCGCACGCGCAACACCGCGCCUGCGGCCCCGGGCCACCUCGGCAACGAGCACCAUCAUCGCGACCGUCGGGCCCACCUAGACGAGAGGGUGCGCUGAGGUUACCACCCCAGGCGUGGGGGACGCUACGACAGCGGGGAGGAUCGGAGUCCCUCGCCCGAACCACCCGGUCCGCAGGCCUUCAGCCGGGCCAUCCGACGGGCACCAUUCCCGACCCGGUUCCGGCCCCCGACUACUAUCACAAAGUACUCGGGGGAAACGAGACCGGAACUGUGGCUCGCAGACUACCGCCUGGCCUGCCAACUGGGUGGAACAGACGACGACAACCUCAUCAUCCGCAACCUCCCCCUGUUCCUCUCCGACACCGCUCGCGCCUGGUUGGAGCACCUGCCUCCGGGGCAGAUCUCCAAUUGGGAUGACCUGGUCCAAGCCUUCGCCGGCAAUUUCCAGGGCACGUACGUGCGCCCCGGGAAUUCCUGGGACCUCCGAAGCUGCCGGCAGCAGCCGGGAGAGUCUCUCCGGGACUACAUCCGGCGAUUCUCGAAGCAGCGCACCGAACUGCCCAACAUCACUGACUCGGAUGUCAUCGGCGCGUUCCUUGCCGGCACCACCUGCCGCGACCUGGUGAGUAAGUUGGGUCGCAAGACCCCCACCAGGGCGAGCGAGCUGAUGGACAUCGCCACCAAGUUCGCCUCUGGCCAGGAGGCGGUCGAGGCUAUCUUCCGAAAGAACAAGCAGCCCCAGGGCCGCCCAUCGGAAGAUGCUCCCGAGGCGUCUACUCCGCGCGGCGCCAAGAAGAAAGGCAAGAAGAAGUCGCAAGCGAAACGCGACGCCGCCGACGCGGAUCUUGUCGCCGCCGCCGAGUACAAGAACCCUCGGAAGCCCCCCGGAGGUGCCAACCUCUUCGACAAGAUGCUCAAGGAGCCGUGCCCCUAUCAUCAGGGGCCCGUCAAGCCCACCCUUGAGGAGUGCGUCAUGCUUCGGCGCCACUUCCACAGGGCCGGGCCACCCGCGGAGGGUGGCAGGGCCCGCGACGACGACAAGAAGGAAGAUCACCAAGCAGGAGAGUUCACCGAGGUCCGCGACUGCUUCAUGAUCUAUGGUGGGCAUGCGGUGAAUGCCUCGGCUCGGCAUCGCAAGCAAGAGCGCCGGGAGGUCUGCUCGGUGAAGGUGGCGGCGCCAGUCUACCUAGACUGGUCCGACAAGCCCAUCACCUUCGACCAAGCUGACCACCCCGACCAUGUGCCAAGCCCAGGGAAAUACCCGCUCGUCGUCGACCCCAUCGUCGGCGACGUCAGGCUCACCAAGGUCCUUAUGGACGGGGGCAGCUGCCUCAACAUCAUCUACGCCGAGACCCUCAGGCUCCUGCGUGUCGAUCUGUCCUCCGUCCGAGCAGGCGCUGCGCCCUUCCACGGGAUCAUUCUCGGGAAGCGCGUCCAGCCCCUCGGACGACUCGACCUUCCCGUCUGCUUCGAAACGCCCUCCAACUUCCGAAGGGAGACUCUGACGUUCGAGGUGGUCGGGUUCCGAGGAACCUACCACGCGGUACUGGGGAGGCCAUGCUACGUGAAGUUUAUGGCCGUCCCCAACUACACCUACCUGAAGCUCAAGAUACCGGCCCCAACGGGGUCAUCACCGUCGGCCCCACGUACAAACACGCGUUCGAAUGCGACGUGGAGUGCGUGGAGUACGCCGAGGCCCUCGCCGAAUCCGAGGCCCUCAUCGCCGACCUGGAAAGCCUCUCCAAAGAGGUGCCAGACGUGAAGCGCCAUGCCGGCAACUUCGAGCCAGUGGAGACGGUCAAGGCCGUCCCCCUCGACCCCAGUGGCGACGCCUCCAAGCAGAUCCGGAUCGGUUCCGGGCUCGACCCCAAAUAGGAAGCAGUGCUCGUCGACUUUCUCCGCGCGAACGCCGACGUCUUCGCGUGGAGUCCCUCGGACAUGCCCGGCAUACCAAGGGAUGUCGCCGAGCACUCGCUGGAUAUCCGGGCCGGAGCCCGACCCGUCAAGCAGCCUCUGCGCCGAUUCGACGAGGAGAAGCGCAGAGUGAUAGGCGAGGAGAUCCACAAGCUAACGGCAGCCGGGUUCAUCAAAGAGGUAUUCCAUCCCGAAUGGCUUGCCAACCCUGUGCUUGUGAGAAAGAAAGGGGGGAAAUGGCGGAUGUGUGUAGACUACACUGGUCUCAACAAAGCAUGUCCGAAGGUUCCCUACCCUCUGCCUCGCAUCGAUCAAAUCGUGGAUUCCACUGCUGGGUGCGAAACCCUGUCUUUCCUCGACGCCUACUCAGGGUAUCACCAAAUCAGGAUGAAAGAGUCCGACCAGCUCGCGACUUCUUUCAUCACGCCCUUCGGCAUGUACUGCUAUGUCACCAUGCCGUUCGGUUUGAGGAAUGCGGGCGCGACGUAUCAGCGGUGCAUGAACCAUGUGUUCGGCGAACACAUCGGUCGCACGAUCGAGGCCUACGUCGAUGACAUCGUAGUCAAGACGAGGAAAGCUUUCGACCUCCUCUCCGACCUUGAAGUGACAUUCCGAUGUCUCAAAGCGAAAGGCGUCAAGCUCAAUCCCGAGAAGUGUGUCUUCGGGGUGCCCCGGGGCAUGCUCUUGGGGUUCAUCGUCUCCGAGCGAGGCAUCGAAGCCAACCCGGAGAAGAUCGCAGCCAUCACCAGCAUGGGGCCCAUCAAGGACUUAAAAGGCGUACAGAGGGUCAUGGGAUGUCUCGCGGCCCUGAGCCGCUUCAUCUCACGCAUCGGCGAAAGAGGCCUGCCUCUGUACCGCCUCUUAAGGAAGGCCGAGUGCUUCGCUUGGACCCCUGAGGUCGAGGAAGCUCUCGGGAACCUGAAGGCGCUCCUCACAAAGGCGCCUAUCUUGGUGCCUCCAGCUGACGGAGUGUGACACCCCAGUGUCACCUAGGGUUUCUCUCAAAUGCCAAACCAAGAACCAUUAUUUUAUGUGAACCAAAGUAAGCAUGAGCAUCAAAAUAACUUAAGUGAGAAAGAAUUCACCAAGUAUAUACUUAAAAGUGUCAUGAUCAAAACAAUUGAGUCCUUUAAAAGAUAAGAUUGUGCAACCCUAAUUAAAAACCCUAAAUGAGCCCCAUGGGCAAAAUUUAAGAAAAUAAGAAAAAGGGGAUGAAAAGUUUAAAAUUUUGAGUUGAGCCAAUUAUAAAAAUUAAAGUAUGUUUAUUAAGCAACAAGAAAGAUUGAGAAGGCUUAGCCAAAAUAACUCAAAUAAAUCCCCAAAUCAGCCCUUGAUCUAGGAACCCUUGGAGAAAUUCAGAUUUCUGAAUUUCUGAAUUUCAGACCUCUUCUCAAAGAUCAUCUGUGUUCUCUGUUUUUCAAAACUCAAAGCCAGAAGAUCCAAAUAUCAAAGUUGUGCCAAAUUCCUUUGAACACAUUCUGGGAAAGUUUGAACUCAAACCAAAUUCGUUUGGCAUGGUUUUGGCGCAACUUGACCUCGGGACCAGGCAUUCUGACACUGGCACCUUGGUGACGUUACAACUCCCUGUCCCUAGCCUAAAACCGCACGUCGUCCAUACACAAAAGACAAAGCUUGGUCUGGUGAACAAAUCCUUCACAACGAUCUUACCCAAAUUCGCGAAGAUUUGCUCCCAAUCGGCGCUUGAACAGGGGCAGAGGCAACGGGAACACGUGUUCGACCGUGGCUGACACCCCCGGUUCACGCCCGUUCGCGCACCACGCCUCCCAGUGCACGCCCGCGCGCACUCGCCGGUCCACGACCGCCCGUGCACCGCGCCGUGCCUAUAAAGCCUUCCCAGGCGCACCCCACUUCGCCCCGCACUCACCCUCACCGGCCAGCCCCCUUUCCCUUAGCUCCGGCAAGCUCAAUUCCGCCCGCCAUUGCCGCUAGAGCUUCGGCCACCAUGGCCAGCCCAUUCCAGCCAUCCUCUGGGCAAGCCAGUGCUUCGGCUAGCUCCGCUAGUAGCCCGUGAAGCUUGCCAAGCCCUCGGACCCGGCCGGACUUCACCGGAGGCCCAAGAUCGACCUCACCGGACUUCGGUCUUCCGCCGCCGCGCGUGGACCGAGCUAUCCAGUGAGUCUCCGCCCAAUUCCUUGCGCUCAUAGCUUCUCUGGCACCCCGUGGACCUCCCUGACCCUUUUGAUUGAACUAUCUCGCCGUGACCAGGCCGGUCUCCUCGCCGCCGACGAGCAUCCCCGCCUGCGCGCGUGGACCGACCGACUCCGGCCAUCUCCGACGGUGUUCCGCACACCGUUGUGAUCCCCGAGACCUCCCCUUCGUCCUCGACCGCUUCACCGGAGCAAUCUCGCCGCCGGUAAGCCCCUCCGCCCUUUUUUCCGCCGCGGUUACUGUUUAAGGUAGAAGAAGGACCUCGGGUUAGGAUUUGUAGAACCCGAGGGGUUUUCUGUAACGUCAGUGACUCAUGUGAAUAAUAGCUUAAGGACUGAUCCGCGAAGAAAACUUAAAAACCCGCCAGGGACCCCAGUGCAAAGUGGAUUUCCAUUUAAACCAAUUCAGUUAUUCUUUUUAAAAUAACCAGAGAACUUAGAAAAUCCAUAACUUGAUGAAAUCUUAAUAAAAAGUUGUCAAACCAAUUUUGCUAGCUCCUGUACCUUAUGAUCUAUCAUUUAAAAAUAGUAAACCCCAUGCUUUCUGUUCAAAUUUUAGAGUUUAAAAUUAAAAAACAGAAACCCACUAAACCUUGUUUAAUUAAGGAAAAUUAGUUUUUCUUCUGUGCUGAACUUAGGAAAAUUUGUAGAUGAUCAAACCCCUUUUAGACACUGUUUAAAAAUAAUGGGAACCCCAGCAUUGAAAAAUAUGAUAUAGUUUCUCAUUUAAAGAUGUUUUGUCCAAAACUUAGAGAAAAUCAGAGAGGCAUUAGAAAUUAAUGAACAGUGAUUAAGAUUAUUUUUCCUAGUUUACUUAUGUAACAGAGAACCUAGGAAAAAUACAGAGACCAUUAAUUUGGACCAGUUUUUAAUUAAGAUGAUUUAUUUAGCCUUAUAUAGACUGAAAAUCAAUUAUUAAAGAGGCAAAACUAUAACCAAAAUGCUUAAUAAAAAUCCAGUGGACUUAUAACCACCAGAGCCCCACUACAAAAAUACAGAGCACCCCAGCCCAACUCUUUAAGUAAGGAAAUUAAAUGCAAAGUGAUAAUAAGGCAUUUUCCAACUAAAUCAUGAACAACCCCAAAUAAUGUGAUAAUGGGCAACCAAAAAUUUGCUAAGUCCAUGAUGAGAUAAAUUACCAGAGAAAAAUGCAAACUCAUGAAAAAGAAGCAAACUCAUACCAAUUGCUAAUAAUUUAAGAGAAAGGCCACUUAAUUCAAAUAAUGCAUACCACCCCUUCCCUUAAGCAAAAAGAGGCCAAACUUCAGAAUGAUUGCUCUUGCACAAAAUAAUAACCAAGAAAAAUAAGAACUCUGUUAUUUGAUGUUUUUCAGAUAUAAUGGUAGUAGAAAGCACCCAUUUGGCUAGAAACUUGAGAAAACCAUAGGAAAAUAAUUAAAAGGUAUUAAUGACUAGAAAUUUGUAUCAAGUCAUGUUAUAACACCUAAAAGCCAGCAAAAAUGAGUUUUGAAGAAUUGCCCACUGUUAAAUAGUAGUUGUAGUUCAAAGCACCCCUUUUGCCCUAGAGUUUAAUAAUUUUGUCCAGAGAAAACUAUUCACUUUCUGAUCCCCAAAUUUUGAGGCAAAGAAACACACACCAGUACCCAGCCACUGUAAUUUUUGCAGAAUUUUUAGAAUUUUAUAAAAGCAACUUGUAGUUCAAACCUACCCCCAAAACCCUUAAGAGAAUAAAAGAAAAAGGAAGAAGAAGUAAACCUCACCCCAAUAAGUAUAACUUGAGAACUUAAUCAAUUCUCCCUAAGACUUAAAAAGAAUUCAGUGGAACCCCAAAAUUUAAUCUACUACUUACCUUAGCUAAGUCUAACCCAAUUUACCAAGUAUACCACCCAAGGGUCUUACAUAACUAAAGUUAACCUUGUUUAACUCAAGUAGAUCAUACACCUCCAAAAGUUGUAAUUUCUAAAAGCACAUAUCAUAUCAUGCAUAUAUCUUACGCAUUGCAUUCAUUAGAUUGUAACCUCGCCGACGGAGAGUACGUGCUCAUCCCCGAGCAAGGACCUGUCCAAGAGGAGGACCAGGAGCAGGCUUCAGAGGCUGCUAUUGAGGAUCUCCCCGCAGCCCCAGCAAUUGAAGGCAAGCCCCAGUUUUAUGCAUAACCUAUUAAUUAUGCUAUUUUACUACACUUAAUGCUUGUAGGAUUGCAAUGUGCACUUAAGUGUAGGAGUUGCUUGAAACCUCUAGUUGCAUGAACUUAGGAUUCCUUUUUGAGAUGAAUACUAGUAUGCUAGGUCGAGUAGCUGCUUGCUAAUCAGGAUCUCGGUAGAAGUCGAGUGAUUUUUCUAGCACUCGCGCGAGGUCAGGAAUUGAUUGUAUUCAUCUUGAUAACGGGAUUUAUGAUGGUCUAUGGACUUGGAUCCAGGGAGGAUGCCUUGUCCAUGAGACGGGAAAAAAAUGAAUUAAGGAUUAAUGUGUGGAUACCUGAGUCAAGCUUUUGAACGUACUAAGCACAUGCCGGGAAAAAUGGUAACCGGUAAACCUAGUACCUGAGUGAAGCCGGGCGCGGACUUUAUCCCUCAUGCGACCUGAGACUGGGUCUCCCAUGCUAGCUAUGGUGGGUACAAGUGCGGUCACUGCACGGCGGCAGCCGGGGUCAGUGGAGCAUUGUAUGCCAAGGCGGUGAGGCCUGGACGCGAACGGGGAAUCGAUGGGGACGGUUGUCAUGUGUGGGGUCGGAGUACCCUAACAUGCCGUGUGUUUAGGUUUACCUUGCAAGGUUUAAAACUCAAUUCGAAUUGUCUGCUUCUCGCAGCUAAUGAGACUGCUUGAUUCCUUGUACUGCAUCGAGUAAGAAGUGAAAUGUGGUUACAUGAGAUAACUUAUUGCUUGAACUAAAUGAUUGUUACCAUGUAUGCUUAGAAGGAGCAAAUCUAGCUAAGUUAAUGAUGGUAGAAUUUGAAAAGCUAAAAAUUGAUUUUAGAAACAGCUAGUGCUUUUGGCAACCAAACCCCUCAGCCAAACAACUGCAUAGUCUAGAGGUAGAGGAGUAGACUCCUCACACCGGUUAAGUCUAGCUGAGUAUUAGUAUACUCAGCCUUGCUUGUGGCACCAUUUUUGCAGGUACCAUUCAGGAAAUGGUUGAUGGUGUGACUUGGCCUACCACCCUGCCACCGGGUUGGACGGUCGAGUGGGAUGUUGCUCCGGCAGGAGAGGAGCAUGAGGAGUAGUGGGCUAGGCCUUGCCCAUUUCCUCAUUUCCGACGACAUCGAUUAUCCGCUGCACUUUACUUUACGAACUUUAUUUGCUACUCAAGAACUCCGAUCUAUGUAAUAAUUCAGUACUUAAUUUGAGGUUUCCUGUUUUAUUGUAUUUCUUCUGUGACUCACCUUCGAGUGAGAUUGUGGAAUUUGAUCCUGGUUAAGUGGCUCUAUCAGACUAGAUCUGAAGGACUGACGGGUUAUUCCGAUUUAAGUGUGUUACGGCCCCUGAGGCGUGACUUAGGCACUUAAGCUGGAAUAAUUCGGGUGGUUCUGCCACAGCUGGUAUCAGAGCAAAUUCCACCACAGAGAAGGACAAUAAACCAUGAAUACCAAAUUUUCAAAAUCUAAAACUUGCCUAGAAACUGCUACGAAUCGUCAGGACUAGACCGCUAGACCUAGGACGAAAGGCCUUAGGCAUAGAGGGAGAAAUAGGUGGCUAAUUAAUUAGGCCCCGUGGGCCAGUACUUAUAUUUUAAGGAUGCCCUGGAAAGGCACCCUAUUUUCUCUUUGAGAGGCAACGUUUCUUCCAGCAUGCAUGCAUUAUAAAACAUAAAGAGGAAUUAAAAAAUUUGAGCUAACCCCUUUUCUUUAGAACCAUCCGGGCUCUCUUUUUCUUUUUCCUUCCGCCAUAAUCCUUAUCUUUGAUUCCCUUCCGCAGAUGAAUUCACCCACCCCCGCCAGUGGAGGAGACUCUCGUUUCAGUUCUGACUUCCUUUCUCGCGAUGGCUUUCCUUCCAUCUUGUGGGAAGUGCUUAACUCCGCCGGUUACCCUACGCCCCCUUUGUACACGGUGCAGUUGUAUGAGGAGCAUCGGGUACCUCGUUGUCGGGUCUGGUUGACUUUGGAGGCUCAUCCCCUUCAGCCGGGUUGGCGUUCUCUGGAUUCUGAGAUGAUUGGACUCAGGACGGACGACACCGUUGAGGCAGCAGCCAUGAAGACUCUGACGACUUUCUGUGGCUACCAUCCCCUGGAGAUGGUGAUGCACCCUUUGGGACUCUUCCCUGCUGAGAAGAAGGAUGAUCCCAUGUGGUGUAACCGCGUGAGCCAUGUGAAGGAUGUGUGGGCGAUGUAUCCUGACUUGGUUGGGAGGGUCACUGUUCAGUGCAUGAGUGCGCUGUACCGCCUUCAGGCCCUUCAGAGCGAUGCUAUGGCACUUCUUGCUAACACCGCUCAGACUGCCAAGCUCACUCUCGACAGUCGGGAAGAUUUUGUGGUCGACCUAUCCACAGAGUUGGUGGAGAAGGAUCUGCAGGUGGAGAGGCUGAACCAGCGCAUUGCCACCUUGGAGCAGCAGGUGGAGAUCCGAGACAACACUAUUGAUGUCUUGGAGAACCAGCUUCACGAUGUGCAGAGGGAACUCGAGGAAGCGAAUGACCACUUGGACAUGCACCACCUGGAGAUGGAGGCCAAUGAAGCAGGAAGCGAGGGAGAAGAGGCUCCCGAGGAGCUAGGACCAGUCCCUGGUGCCAAUGGGACUACCUCCACGAUGCCUCCUUCACCCGUAUCCAGUGUCGCUUCCACCGCUCAGGGUUAAGCAGUCGCUUCGACACUUUUAGGCGGAUAGAAACCUAUGCGAGCUUAGUAGUACCACAUUUUGGACUAGGCUUAUGGGUACUUUCCCCUGAUUGAUGUAACCCUGUAAACUUUUGAAAUCUGUGGGAUCUUUGUCACCAUGUUGUCUUCAUUUCGAACCUAAUAUUAUGAUUAUGGCAUUUUUUUCCUUCCAUAUGAGAUGAUAUCUUGCCGUUCGAAACUGUGAGUUGGGAUAACAAUGGCGACAAUGUCUGUUUUUAGAUGGCAGCUAGGCAGCGUCGCGGGCAGAACGAGCAAGCUCC